UACGUAGGGGGCUAGCGUUGUCCGGAAUCAUUGGGCGUAAAGCGCGCGUAGGCGGCCCGGUAAGUCCGCUGUGAAAGUCAAAGGCUCAACCUUUGAAUGUCAGCGGAUACUGCCGGGCUAGAGUCCGGAAGAGGCGAGUGGAAUUCCCCGGUGUAGCGGUGAAAUGCGCAGAUAUCGGGAAGAACACCCGUGGCGAAGGCGGUUCUCUGGGACGGUACUGACGCUGAGACGCGAAAGCGUGGGGGAGCGAACAGG
rnacentral:rRNA from 1 species